UACAGAGGUGCCAAGCGUUAGGCGGAAUCACUGGGCUUAAAGCGCGCGUCGGCGGAUGUUUAAGUGUCUUGUGAAAUCCCACGGCUCAACCGUGGAACUGCUGGGCAUACUGGACAUCUCGAGGCACUCAGGGGCGAGCGGAACAAGUGGUGGAGCGGUGAAAUGCGUAGAUAUCACUUGGAACGCCAAUGGUGAAGACAGCUCGCUGGGGGUGUCCUGACGCUGAGGCGCGAAAGCCAGGGGAGCGAACGGG
rnacentral:rRNA from 1 species